CCUGUUAUAACUAUCGACCGCAUUCCAGAUCCUGCUACCACCUGGCAGCUCAGCAAAGAGAGCAGCUUCUCUCAUAGCCCAGGCAAGCCCACUAGAAGUGCAUUUCCCCAGGGCCUGGUCUAAGGGCAGGCAGCUUUCACCACAGAGAACUACUAGCACAGCAAACGACUGACGCAAACCUGCUGCUCUCUCUUCCCUUGUCUGGGCACUUACGGAAAGCCAGGUAAAAGCAUCUGUUUGUUGCAAGGCUGCUUUCUC
rnacentral:lncRNA from 1 species